rnacentral:rRNA from 1 species
AUUGAACGCUGGCGGCAGGCUUAACACAUGCAAGUCGAGCGAGCGGCGGACGGGUGAGUACUGUCUGGGCACCUGCCUGAUGGAGGGGGAUAACUACUGGAAACGUUAGCUAAUAGCGCAUACCAUCAGAUGUGCCCAGAUGGGAUUAGCUAGUGGGUGGGGGAAUGGCUCACCUAGGCGACGCUCCCUAGCUGGUCUGAGAGGAGGACCAGCCAAACUGGAACUGAGACACGGGCCAGACUCCUACGGGAGGCAGCAGUGGGGAAUAUUGCACAAUGGGCGCAAGCCUGAUGCAGCCAUGCCGCGUGUGUGAAGAAGGCCUUCGGGUUGUAAAGCACUUUCAGCGAGGAGGCGGUACUCGCAGAAGAAGCACCGGCUAACUCCGUGCCAGCAGCCGCGGUAAUAC